AACGGCGGCCGUAACUAUAACGGUCCUAAGGUAGCGAAAUUCCUUGUCAGGUAAGUUCUGACCCGCAUGAAAGGCGUAAUGAUUUGGGCACUGUCUCGACAGCCCGCCCGGCGAAAUUGUAGUACCGGUGAAGAUGCCGGUUACCCGCGACAAGACGGAAAGACCCCAUGGAGCUUUACUGUAGCCUAAUAUUGGGUUUCGAUGUUGCAUGCACAGGAUAGAUGGGACACAGGGAAACAAGUGCUUUGGCAUUUGUGGAGUGGCCGUUGGGAUACCAUCCUUGCGAUAUUGGAAUUCUAACCUGCGCCUUUGAAUCAAGGCGGGGGACAUUGUUAGGUGGGCAGUUUGACUGGGGCGGUCGCCUCCUAAAGAGUAACGGAGGCGUUCAAAGGUUCGCUCAGCUUGAACGGAAAUCAAGCAAAAGAGUGCAAACGCAGAAGCGAGCCUAACUGCGAGACUGACGGGUCGAGCAGUAACGAAAGUUGGAGUUAGUGAUCCGGUGGUAUGUGAGUGGAAAUGCCAUCGCUCAACGGAUAAAAGUUACCCUGGGGAUAACAGGCUGAUCUCCCCCAAGAGUCCACAUCGACGGGGAGGUUUGGCACCUCGAUGUCGGCUCAUCGCAUCCUGGGGCUGUAUUCGGUCCCAAGGGUUUGGCUGUUCGCCAAUUAAAGCGGUACGCGAGCUGGGUUCAGAACGUCGUGAGACAGUUCGGUCCCUAUCUGUCGUGGGCGCAGGAUAUUUGAUGGGAGCUGUUCCUAGUACGAGAGGACCGGAGCGGACGUACCUCUGGCGCACCAGUUGUUCUGCCAAGAGCAUAGCUGGGCAACUAUGUACGGAUCGGAUAAACGCUGAAAGCAUCUAAGCGUGAAGCCGACCCAAAGAUAAGAUAUCCCAUUGUUUCAAACAAGUAAGACCCCUUGAAGACUACAAGGUUGAUAGGCACGAUGUGUAAGUGGAGUGAUCCAUUCAGCAAGCGUGUACUAAUAGGUCGAGGGCUUGACCAC
rnacentral:rRNA from 1 species